rnacentral:snRNA from 1 species
GUGCUCACUUCAGUGGAAUGAUUCAAAAAUGUUUAGCAGAGUCUCUGAGCAAGGAUGACACACAAAUUCAUGAAGCAUUCUAUAUUUUU